rnacentral:rRNA from 1 species
GACGAACGCUGGCGGCGUGCUUAACACAUGCAAGUCGAACGGAAAGACCCUGCUCUUGCGGGGCGCUCGAUUGCCGAACACGUGAGUAAAACGUGAGUAACCUGUCCUUGACUGUCGGAUAAAUUCAGGGAACAGGGGAUAAUACACGGUAGGAUAUUCUGAUGCAUGGGGGGGGAUGGAAAGAGUCGGCGGUUGGGGAUGGACUAGCGGCUUAUCCGCUUGUUGGUCGGGUAGGGGCUGACCAAGGGUUUGACGGAUAGGCGGCCUGAGAGGGUGACCGGGCACAUUGGGACUGAGAGAGGGCCCAGACUCCUACGGGAGGCAGCAGUCGGGAACCUUGCGCAAUGGGCGGAAGCCUGAUGCAGCGACGUUGCGUGCGUGAUGCCGUGCUUUGGGUGGUGAACCUCUUUCUCCGGUGCCGAAGCGUGAUUGACGGUACUGGGUAAAAAAGCCCCGGCUAACUACGUG